UGAGAUGCACUGACUCCUGGCAAACUGCAGCAUUCCUUGUCAUCCUCCGCUCUCUUCCGAGGCUUUGGCCAGUCAUGCGGUUACUACGGAAAAUCCUCAUCCUUUUGGGUGCUUGCCUUAAUAUGAGCUGCAGGUAUCAGAGUAAUGCCCUGGAUAUUCCACUUGAAGUUUUAGCACGUGUGAACAUGGAGCAGCUGCCCACAAUUACAGAGCACUCACCUGCCUCUCUGGUCGCCUUUCCUUUCGAAG